rnacentral:pre_miRNA from 1 species
UGGGUCUUUGCGGGCGAGAUGAGGGUCUUAUUUCCAACUGGCCUACAAAGUCCCAGU